AUUGAACGCUGGCGGCAGGCCUAACACAUGCAAGUCGAGCGAGCGGCGGACGGGUGAGUAAUGCCUGGGAAUUGCCCAGUCGAGGGGGAUAACAGUUGGAAACGACUGCUAAUACCGCAUACGAUUGGAUUGCCCAGGUGGGAUUAGCUAGUUGGUGAGGUAAUGGCUCACCAAGGCGACGAUCCCUAGCUGGGCUGAGCGGAUGAUCAGCCACACUGGAACUGAGAAACGGUCCAGACUCGUACGGGAGGCAGAAGUGGGGAAUAUUGCACAAGGGGGGAAACGCUGAUGCAGCCAUGCCGCGGGUGUGAAGAAGGCCUUAGGGUUGUAAAGCACUUGCAGCGAGGAGGCGGUAGACGGAGAAGAAGCACCGGCUAACUCCGUGCCAGCAGCCGCGGUAAUAG
rnacentral:rRNA from 1 species